rfam:Rhizobiales bacterium 64-17 SCNpilot_cont_500_bf_scaffold_4, whole genome shotgun sequence.
CGGCCCGCCGGUUUGGGAGAACCAUGGGCCAGGUUGGGUCGCGGACGCCUCGGGAGGGUGGCCGCCGACCAGGGGAGAGAGAUCGAUGCAGAACACUCUGCUGAUCGGAUUGUCACGUCAGGUCGCGCUCC